rnacentral:rRNA from 1 species
UUGGAGGGCAAGUCUGGUGCCAGCAGCCGCGGUAAUUCCAGCUCCAAUAGCGUAUAUUAAAGUUGUUGCAGUUAAAAAGCUCGUAGUUGAAUUUCGGGAUCAAUAUGCUGGUCGUGCUUUUGGUACGUACUGGUAUUAUUGGUUUCUCCUUUCUGAUGAAUCACGAUGUCAUUAAUUUGGUGUCAUGGGGAAUCAGGACUGUUACUUUGAAAAAAUUAGAGUGUUUAAAGCAGGCUUACGCUUGAAUACAUUGGCAUGGAAUAAUGAAAUAGGACGUUUAAUUCUAUUUUGUUGGUUUCUAGGAUUGACGUAAUGAUUAAUAGGGAUAGUUGGGGGCAUUAGUAUUCAAUUGUCAGAGGUGAAAUUCUUGGAUUUAUUGAAGACUAACUACUGCGAAAGCAUUUGCCAAGGAUGUUUUCAUUAAUCAAGAACGAAAGUUAGGGGAUCGAAGACGAUCAGAUACUGUCGUAGUCUUAACCAUAAACUAUGCCGACUAGGGAUCGGAUGAUGUUAAUUUUUUAAUGACUCAUUCGGCGCCUUACGGGAAACCAAAGUGUUUGGGUUC